rnacentral:rRNA from 1 species
GACGAACGCUGGCGGCGUGCCUAAUACAUGCAAGUAGAACGCUGAAGAGAGGAGCUUACUCUUCUUGGAUGAGUUGCGAACGGGUGAGUAACGCGUAGGUAACCUGCCUUGUAGCGGGGGAUAACUAUUGGAAACGAUAGCUAAUACCGCAUAACAAUGGAUGACACAUGUCAUUUAUUUGAAAGGGGCAAUUGCUCCACUACAAGAUGGACCUGCGUUGUAUUAGCUAGUAGGUGAGGUAAUGGCUCACCUAGGCGACGAUACAUAGCCGACCUGAGAGGGUGAUCGGCCACACUGGGACUGAGACACGGCCCAGACUCCUACGGGAGGCAGCAGUAGGGAAUCUUCGGCAAUGGGGGCAACCCUGACCGAGCAACGCCGCGUGAGUGAAGAAGGUUUUCGGAUCAUAAAGCUCUGUUGUAAGUCAAGAACGGGUGUGAGAGUGGAAAGUUCACACUGUGACGGUAGCUGACCAGAAAGGGACGGCUAACUACGUG